rnacentral:tRNA from 1 species
CCGGCAGUAGCUCAUCGGUGGCAGAGCACCAGGAUGCCAUCCUGGAGGUGGCGGGUUCGAGCCCCGCCUGCCGGU